CGGUUUGGUCAGUCCUCCGGGAAAUCUGACGGCUCAACCGUUAGGCUUUCGGGGGAUACUGCCAGGCUUGGAACCGGGAGAGGUAAGAGGUACUACAGGGGUAGGAGUGAAAUCUUGUAAUCCCUGUGGGACCACCUGUGGCGAAGGCGUCUUACCAGAACGGGUUCGACGGUGAGGGACGAAAGCUGGGGGCACGAACCGGAUUAGAUACCCGGGUAGUCCCAGCCGUAAACGAUGCUCGCUAGGUGUCAGGCAUGGCGCGACCGUGUCUGGUGCCGCAGGGAAGCCGUGAAGCGAGCCACCUGGGAAGUACGGCCGCAAGGCUGAAACUUAAAGGAAUUGGCGGGGGAGCACAACAACGGGUGGAGCCUGCGGUUUAAUUGGACUCAACGCCGGACAACUCACCGGGGGCGACAGCAAUAUGUAGGCCAAGCUGAAGACUUUGCCUGAAUCGCUGAGAGGAGGUGCAUGGCCGUCGCCAGUUCGUACUGUGAAGCAUCCUGUUAAGUCAGGCAACGAGCGAGACCCGUGCCCACUGUUACCAGCAUAUCCUCCGGGAUGAUGGGUACUCUGUGGGGACCGCCGGUGUUAAAUCGGAGGAAGGUGCGGGCCACG
rnacentral:rRNA from 1 species